rnacentral:rRNA from 1 species
GGCGGUAGGCCUAACACUAUCGACAGUACGACGAGAAAGUCCGUUCGGGAUGAGUAGAGUGGCGGACGGGUGAGUAACGCGUAGGAAUCUAUCCUGUAGUGGGGAUACGUUCGAAAGGACGCUAAUACCGCAUACGCCCCGAAGGGGGAAAGCGGGGGAUCUUCGGACCUCGUGCUAUAGGAGGAGCCUGCGUCGGAUUAGCUAGUUGGUGAGGUAAAGGCUCACCAAGGCGACGAUCCGUAGCUGGUCUGAGAGGAUGAUCAGCCACACCGGAACUGAGACACGGUCCGGACUCCUACGGGAGGCAGCAGUGGGGAAUAUUGCGCAAUGGGCGAAAGCCUGACGCAGCCAUACCGCGUGUGUGAAGAAGGCCUUCGGGUUGUAAAGCACUUUCAGUGGGGAGGAAAAGCUGGUGGCUAAUAUCCAUCGGCCGUGACGCUACCCACAGAAGAAGCACCGGCUAAUUCCGUG